GAAGUAGGACGGUUGAUCGCGAGUAGGCAUACUUGGGCCUAUUUUGAGGAAAGUCCGGACUCUAAGGGCAAGAUACUGGUUAACAACCAGAGGGAGUGAUCCCUGAAUAGGGCCAUAGAAAAGAAAACCGCCGAAAGGCAAGGGUGGAACGGUGAGGUAAGAGCUCACCAGUGUCAGAGCGAUCUGGCAGCUUGGUAACCUCUAUCUUGAGCAAGGUCAAACAAGAAGGCCAGAGGUUGCCCGCCGAGAGACUUUAGUGUCCGCCUUCUGGGUAGACCGCGUAGAUUAAUGGUUAACUUUACAGAAUCCGGCUUAUAGUCCUACUGAUAUA
rnacentral:RNase_P_RNA from 2 species